rnacentral:misc_RNA from 1 species
GGAGUUCACCAAAACAAUAGUGAUAACAUAAACCAAGCAUGAAAACAUACAGGUAAUCUUGCGAAACUCAAGUAGAUUAUCCACUAGGCUAGUUGUCACAAAUAUUUCCAAAAACUGAAAAGAUCACUGGGACAACCUUAUCUUACAUUUCCUCAUGCAUGCACACAAUUAAGUUCCCAAAAAAUUUUCAAACAAAGAAUGUUUUUU